rnacentral:misc_RNA from 1 species
GAUGAGGAACGUAGCGAAAUGCGAUAAGUAAUGUGAAUUGCAGAAUUCAGUGAAUCAUCGAAUCUUUGAACGCACAUUGCGCCCGCCAGCAUUCUGGCGGGCAUGCCUGUUCGAGCGUCAUUUCAACCCUCGACUUCCCUUUGGGGAAAUCGGCGUUGGGGACUGGCAGCAUACCGCCGGCCCCGAAAUGGAGUGGCGGCCCGUCCGCGGCGACCUCUGCGUAGUAAUCCAACCUCGCACCGGAACCCCGACGUGGCCACGCCGUAAAACACCCCACUUUCUGAACGUUGACCUCGGAUCAGGUAGGAAUACCCGCUGAACUUAAGCAUAUCAAUAAGCGGAGGA